GUGAGGAAUAUUGCGCAAUGGAGGCAACUCUGACGCAGCCAUGCCGCGUGCAGGAAGAAGGCGCUACGCGUUGUAAACUGCUUUUAACCGGGAAGAAACCCCAGGACGCGUCCUGGGUUGACGGUACCGGAGGAAUAAGCACCGGCUAACUUCGUGCCAGCAGCCGCGGUAAUACGAAGGGUGCAAGCGUUAUCCGGAUUCAUUGGGUUUAAAGGGUGCGUAGGCGGAGCGUUAAGUCAGUGGUGAAAUCCUGCAGCUUAACUGUAGACUUGCCAUUGAUACUGGCGCUCUUGAGUGCGCUUGAAGUGGGCGGAAUGUGCCGUGUAGCGGUGAAAUGCUUAGAUAUGGCACAGAACACCAAUUGCGAAGGCAGCUCACUAAGGCGAUACUGACGCUGAGGCACGAAAGCGUGGGGAUCGAACAGGAUUAGAUACCCCAGUAGUCC
rnacentral:rRNA from 1 species